rnacentral:misc_RNA from 1 species
UUGUUUUUUUUUUUUUUUAAAAAAAAGAGCAUUACUUUUGGUUAAGAAGAUAGUUUUCCAACAAAGGACUUCAGAAAAUAAAAACCUCUUUUGAAAGGGCUUCUCAUGAAGGAUGAAAACUGUUGCCUCAUUAAAGCUUUAUCAUCAUUAUUUUGAUGUCUCUUAUUCAAAAUUAAACAAAAAUCAAGUACAAGUUCUAUCCAACACACACAAAAACUUGAUGUCGUGAUUGUUUU